rnacentral:rRNA from 1 species
CCUACGGGGGGCAGCAGUGGGGAAUUUUGGGCAAUGGGCGAAAGCCUGACCCAGCAAUGCCGCGUGCGGGAUGAAGGUCUUCGGAUUGUAAACCGCUGUCGAGGGGGACGAAAUUUGACGGUACCCCUAGAGGAAGCCACGGCUAACUACGUGCCAGCAGCCGCGGUAAUACGUAGGUGGCGAGCGUUGUUCGGAUUUAUUGGGCGUAAAGGGUCCGCAGGGGGUUGAUUAAGUCUGACGUGAAAUCCCUGAGCUUAACUCAGGAACUGCGUUGGAGACUGGUUGACUAGAGUGUUGGAGAGGUGAUUGGAAUUCCAGGUGUAGCGGUGGAAUGCGUAGAUAUCUGGAAGAACAUCGAAAGCGAAGGCAGAUCACUGGACAAUGACUGACCCUCAGGGACGAAAGCAUGGGGAGCAAACAGGAUUAGAUACCCCAGUAGUC